UACGGAGGGUGCGAGCGUUGUCCGGAAUCAUUGGGCGUAAAGGGCGCGUAGGUGGCGGGACAAGCGUGCGGUGAAAGCCUGGGGCUCAACCCCGGGUCGGCCGUGCGAACUGUUUUGCUUGAGCACUGUAGAGGCAGGCGGAAUUCCCGGUGUAGCGGUGAAAUGUGUAGAGAUCGGGAGGAACACCGGUGGCGAAGGCGGGUCUCUGGGCAAUUCCUGACGCUGAGGCGCGAAAGCGUGGGGAGCAAACGGG
rnacentral:rRNA from 1 species